rnacentral:tRNA from 1 species
GCCGAGGUGGUGGAACUGGUAGACACGCUACUUUGAGGGGGUAGUGGGCGAAAGCCUGUGCGGGUUCGAGUCCCGCUCUCGGCA